GAUGAACGCUGGCGGCGUGCCUAAUACAUGCAAGUCGAGCGAACGGACGAGAAGCUUGCUUCUCUGAUGUUAGCGGCGGACGGGUGAGUAACACGUGGAUAACCUACCUAUAAGACUGGGAUAACUUCGGGAAACCGGAGCUAAUACCGGAUGAUAUUUUGAGCCGCAUGGUUCAAAAGUGAAAGACGGUCUUGCUGUCACUUAUAGAUGGAUCCGCGCUGCAUUAGCUAGUUGGUAAGGUAACGGCUUACCAAGGCAACGAAGCAUAGCCGACCUGAGAGGGUGAUCGGCCACACUGGAACUGAGACACGGUCCAGACUCCUACGGGAGGCAGCAGUAGGGAAUCUUCCGCAAUGGGCGAAAGCCUGACGGAGCAACGCCGCGUGAGUGAUGAAGGUCUUCGGAUCGUAAAACUCUGUUAUUAGGGAAGAACAUAUGUGUAAGUAACUGUGCACAUCUUGACGGUACCUAAUCAGAAAGCCACGGCUAACUACGUG
rnacentral:rRNA from 1 species